ACUUAAAACGUUAAACAAACUCUAAGCGCUGUCUAUUUAUUCGGGAAACUAAAAUGAAUUUCACUACAAUUUUGAGCAUUUUCGUUUUGACUUUGGCGUCGGUCAUGAGUCAACCAAAUAAAAACAAAGCAAAGUAGAGUCACUUCUAUAUCAGCGCCACUUUCAACAUUUUUGGUAUCGCGGAAAAGUAUAAGCAACAAGAUUCAUGUCAUACAGUCAGAUGUUCAUCCAUUGAAUAUAUAUGAAGCUGCACAUGAAAUUAAAGAUGUUGUGGCCUGGAAGGAAAUUAUUUAAAGAUGGUGAAACACAUCAAAGAGACAGAACUAUCUUUCAAAUUCAACUGCGUAGACAUAACCAAAAGAAUAUAUGAAUUAUGUUGCAGCGAUCUAAGAGAUUAUAUUUCUUAUUUAAAUAAAACGUUUGUGGACAUCGACACGGAAAUUGGCCAACAAAUUUUUGAUGACUCAGUGUUUUCAAAUUAUCUAUUUUUUUAAUGACGUUUAAAAAAUUAUACU